AGCAGCCGCGGUAAUUCCAGCUCCAAUAGCGUAUAUUAAAGUUGUUGCAGUUAAAAAGCUCGUAGUUGAAUUUCGGGAUUGACGUGACGGUCGUGCCUUAAGGGGCGUGAACUGUCGCCGUUGAUUUCUCACCUCCUGGAGAAGCUCGAUGUCCUUAAUUGGAUGUCUUGUGGAACCAGGACCUUUACCUUGAAAAAAUUAGAGUGUUUAAAGCAGGCAUUUUGCUCGAAUACAUUAGCAUGGAAUAAUAGAAUAGGACGGCAUGGUUCUAUUUGUUGGUUUCUGGGAUCACCGUAAUGAUUAAUAGGGAUAGUUGGGGGCAUUAGUAUUCAAUUGUCAGAGGUGAAAUUCUUGGAUUUAUUGAAGACUAACUACUGCGAAAGCAAUUUGCCAAGGAUGUUUUCAUUAAUCAAGAACGAAAGUUAGGGGAUUGAAGACGAUCAGAUACCGUCGUAGUCUUAACCAUAAACUAUGCCGACUAGGAAUCAGACGAUGUUAAUUUUUAA
rnacentral:rRNA from 1 species